rnacentral:rRNA from 1 species
GGCCGCGGGAAUUCGAUUAGAGUUUGAUCCUGGCUCAGAUUGAACGCUGGCGGCAUGCCUUACACAUGCAAGUCGAACGGCAGCGCGUCCUUCGGGAUGGCGGCGAGUGGCGAACGGGUGAGUAAAGCAUCGGAACGUGCCCGGUAGUGCGGGAUAGCUCGGCGAAAGCCGGAUUAAUACCGCAUGAGAUCCGUGGAUGAAAGCAGGGGACCCCUUGUGGGCCUUGCGCUACUGGAGCGGCCGAUGUCAGAUUAGGUAGUUGGUGGGGUAAAGGCCCACCAAGCCUGCGAUCUGUAGCUGGUCUGAGAGGAUGAUCAGCCACAUCGGGACUGAGACACGGCCCGAACUCCUACGGGAGGCAGCAGUGGGGAAUUUUGGACAAUGGGCGCAAGCCUGAUCCAGCCAUGCCGCGUGCAGGAUGAAGGCCCUCGGGUUGUAAACUGCUUUUGUACGGAACGAAAAGCCUCUUUCUAAUAAAGAGGGGUGAUGACGGUACCGUAAGAAUAAGCACCGGCUAACUACGUGCCAGCAGCCGCGGUAAUACGUAGGGUGCGAGCGUUAAUCGGAAUUACUGGGCGUAAAGCGUGCGCAGGCGGUCUUGCAAGACAGUGGUGAAAUCCCCGGGCUCAACCUGGGAACUGCCAUUGUGACUGCAAGGCUGGAGUACGGCAGAGGGGGAUGGAAUUCCGCGUGUAGCAGUGAAAUGCGUAGAUAUGCGGAGGAACACCGAUGGCGAAGGCAGUCCCCUGGCCUGUACUGACGCUCAUGCACGAGCGUGGGGAGCAAACAGGAUUAGAUACCCUGGUAGUCCACGCCCUAACGAUGUCACUUGUUGGGAUUUAUUUCCAGUAACGAAGCUAACGCGUGAAGUUGACCUGAGUACGAAACUCAAUGACGGGACCAGCGGUGUGUGAUUCGAUGCA